rnacentral:rRNA from 1 species
GAUGAACGCUGGCGGCGUGCCUAAUACAUGCAAGUCGAGCGAACGGACCAGAAGCUUGCUUCUCUGAUGUUAGCGGCGGACGGGUGAGUAACACGUGGAUAACCUACCUAUCAGACUGGGAUAACUUCGGGAAACCGGCUCUAAUACCGUACAAUAUUUUGAACCGCAUUCUUCAAAAGUGAAAGACGUUCUUGCUGUCACUUAUCGAUGGAUCCGCGCUGCUUUAGCUAGUUGGUAAGGUAACGGCUUACCAAGGCAACGAUGCAUAGCCGACCUGAGAGGGUGAUCGGCCACACUGGAACUGAGACACGGUCCAGACGCCUACGGGAGGCAGCAGUAGGGAAUCGGCCGCAAUGGGCGAAAGCCUGACGGAGCAACGCCGCGUGAGUGAUGAAGGUCUUCGGAUCGUAAAACUCUGUUAUUGGGGAAGAACAUAUGUGUAAGUAACUGUGCACAUCUUGACGGUACCUAAUCAGAAAGCCACGGCUAACUACGUG